UACGGAGGGUGCAAGCGUUAUCCGGAUUCACUGGGUUUAAAGGGUGCGUAGGUGGGCAGGUAAGUCAGUGGUGAAAUCUCCGAGCUUAACUCGGAAACUGCCAUUGAUACUAUCUGUCUUGAAUAUCCUGGAGGUGAGCGGAAUAUGUCAUGUAGCGGUGAAAUGCUUAGAUAUGACAUAGAAUACCCAUUGCGAAGGCAGCUAACUACGCGAUAAUUGACGCUGAUGCACGAAAGCGUGGGGAUCAAACAGG
rnacentral:rRNA from 1 species